rnacentral:tRNA from 1 species
GCGAGGGUUCCGGAGUGGUCAAACGGGCAGGACUUAAGAUCCUGUGGCUUAGUGCCUUCGAGGGUUCGAAUCCUUCCCCUCGCA